rnacentral:tRNA from 2 species
GGCGGAGUAGCUCAGUUGGUUAGAGCAGCGGAAUCAUAAUCCGCGUGUCGAUGGUUCGAGUCCGUCCUCCGCUACCA